UACGGAGGGUGCAAGCGUUAUCCGGAAUUACUGGGUUUAAAGGGUGCGUCGGCGGCUUCAUAAGUCAGGGGUGAAAGCCCAUCGCUUAACGAUAGAAUUGCCUUUGAUACUGUAAAGCUUGAAAGGGGUUGAGGUCAGCAGAAUGUGGCAUGUAGCGGUGAAAUGCAUAGAUAUGCCAUAGAACACCGAUUGCGAAGGCAGCUGGCUGGGCCUACUUUGACGCUGAGGCACGAAAGCGUGGGGAGCGAACAGG
rnacentral:rRNA from 1 species